AGCCACAGCCAUAUUACCCUGCAGCCCAUGACCGGUCACUCACUGAAGCUAAGCAGGGCUGAGCCGGGUCAGUACCUGGAUGGGAGAUCACAUGGGAAAACUAGGCUGCUCUUGGAA
rfam:Danio rerio chromosome 21, GRCz11 reference primary assembly.